GCCUCUUGGUUGCUUCCUGAUUCUGGCAGGCAGGCUUCCUCAGGGCUUGUCUCUGGUCUGGUGAAGGGUCUUGGGCUGUCUCCGUACUUGUCCCCUCUCCUGGGUCUGUGGUCUCCCAUUCCUCUUCCUCCUCGGAACAGAAUGCAAAGAUUUUAAAAACCAGCAGCAAAACUAUUCUGGGGAUUGAGAGGAAGUGUGUGCUAGACAACCAGAGAAGAAAGUAUGUUUGAACUGAACAGACCAAGUGCUCUUCCAAGCCAUUCCCACUCUAGAAGAACAUGAAGACAGCCCUGCUGGAUCAGACUAAAAUCCUAUCUCUUCUCACAGUUGCCAACCAGAUGCCUAUGGGAAACCCCAAGCUAGUCAUGAAUGCAGUACAUGUGCAUAUGAUACAUCUACCUUCACCUUUAGACUAUGUUUCCAGACACACAACUAUGCUGUAACUUGGAUGAAAGUGUAUCUUUUCCAAAAGCCUUUGCUUCAACAUGUCCAUGAUUCACAAAGAGAAUGAAAGAAUCUAUUAUACACCAAUAUCCAAUCAAGACAUGCAGUGUCUCUGGAUUUCUGUUGCAAAGCUGAUGAAAAUUCAGACCAAAGAGAUAACAUCUCUGCAGUUUGAGAACUGCCUGUCUAAAAGUUCUUCAUAUUUUUUUUAAGUGUUUUGCAAGACAGCAAAAAUGAAAUUGAUCUCUUGGUGGACAAACAGCAGGGUCCUGUUCUUCCAGAAAACAGAUAUUGACUAGGGCAGUUUCACUUGUAGGGAGGAAAGAACAAUCUUUGUAAAAGUGACAAAGAAUGGUACAUUAGAGUAUUAAAAAUAGGGAGCCGUUUAGAGAAAAACCAGCAAAAAAACAGAUAGAGGACAAUGGCAGAGGUGGAUCUUAGGAAUUCUUUUGUUCCUGAGAGCUCCAGCAUGUUCUAUAUUUAGAAACCAUCUCCUUUAGAGGAAAAACAGAGCGAUUCAUCUUCCUUCUGAUGAGCAUGAAACUGUACUCUGUGCUGCAAGACCUCAUUUCUUGGAAACAGCAUGAGAAGAGAUAAUUUAAUGUCUUGAUCUUAGCUGGCUAACAUUUUAACCUCUAUGGUAAUCCAAAACAAACUUUGAAAAUUCAAGAAUGGAACUCGUGAGUUUUUAGAAAAGGCUGAACACACAGCAAUCACCAGAUUUCCCCUUCAACCAUGGCCACAGGUUCAAACUGGCAAAGCAUCCUCAUAAUCUAAAUAGUACUAUUAGGUACAUUAUUCAAGGAAGGAACAGAUAAUCUAGUUUAAAAAAUGAUGCAAAAAUACAAAGUAUCUACUGUAUCUUCCACCAUAAAUUUACAAACAGAGUUAUCAUGCAUAGCUAAAGCCGUCUCCACUUGUCUACUCUGAUACGUAACAAGUCACACUGCCAGGCUCACAUCAGGUUCAUAGU